rnacentral:lncRNA from 1 species
UCCAAUUUUAUUUUUAAUUGCAUUCUGGUCCCUCAAACAGUUUCCAGAAUUGCAUUUUAGUCCAAAACUUUUUAAAUUUGCUUUUUAGUCCUUUUUUCUUAUUUGCUGUUUAGUCCUUCAAGUUUCUUAUUUUGCAGAAAGGUCCCAAGUUCAUUUUUUAGCCCAAGGCCGAGCCAUUUUUAUCCAGGACAGAUGUCACCUUUUCAUUGGAUUCC